CGGCGAGUGAAGCGGGAUGAGCUCAAGCUUAAAAUCUCCGUGCAAUUUUUGCGCGGCGAAUUGUAGUCUAUAGAAGCGUGGUCAGUAUGGGCACUUGGGUUAAGUUCCUUGGAAGAGGACAGCAUGGAGGGUGAUACUCCCGUUCGUCCCCAAGUUGCUUGUGCGUACGACCCGUUUUCUUUGAGUCGCGUUGUUUGAGAAUGCAGCGCAAAGUAGGUGGUAAAUUCCAUCUAAAGCUAAAUAUUGGUGCGAGACCGAUAGCAUACAAGUACCGUGAGGGAAAGAUGAAAAGAACUUUGAAAAUAGAGUUAAAGAGUACCUGAAACUGCUGAAAGGUAACCAAAUCGUUUCCAGUGUCUAUAAUCCGUGGUAUAUUUCAUUGGCGAGUGUAUGCGUGCGUGUGCUGUUGCAGUGGCCUUUUUGGCUGCGCUCGGCGUGUGUGUUGUGUGUGCUUGCUGGUGCCCUGUGCUGUGGUGGGACGUCAAGGUCAGUUCGUAUGCUGCGGGAAAUGGCCACUGAGGAGGUAGGGCUUACGCUUGCGUUUGUCUGUUAUAUCUUGGUGGACGAGUAGUCGCGGUUGGGACUGAGGUGCCUACAACGUGCUUUUGAGUGGAUUUGGGUCUCCGUGUGCGCCGUGUGCGGAUAGCUUGCUAUGCGUGUGUGGCUGUGUAUGGAUUGAUGCGAGUCGUAACUGUAGC
rnacentral:rRNA from 1 species